UUCUGCAGAUGCCACUGUUGCUGGAGAAAUGUCACUGCUAGAGAAUGGAAGACUAUUAUUCCAAAGGGUAUUUGAGACUGACUGAAUCAGGUCUGGAACAUUAUUGAAAUGAGACCCACAAAGGAAGAGAUACUGAGUGUAACUGGAUCAUGGUUCAUGCUGAGCUUAAAAUUUGAUCUUCUGAAUAGCAGCAGAAAGACUCUUUCUGGUGAAUGCAGGUCUUCUGAGCAAUUAUCGACUGACUUUGUCAUUAGACACCCCUUUCAGAAGUUGUCAGUGACAUGAAUCUUUGCUCCCUUCUUCGUGGAAUAUUUCUGAUCUAAUAGCCCCUACAUUUCAAAAGAUGAAUGUAAACAUCACAUGAGUAUUACAGGAAAGCUGGAUUGCUCUGCAGUGAGUGAAAUAUGGAAAGGCCUUUCCCACCAAGCAAUAGGCCAAAUUGUAACAGUAAGAUGUAUUUGAAAUAGAAUGGUUCAUAGAUCA